CUGAUUACUAUUCUCUCCAUUCCCCUCCUCUUCCCUCUCCUCGCUGCGCUGGUCACUGAUGUCCGGCCUCCAACUCUGAGCAGGCUGUCUAAUGAUUUUCCCCCCUCCACCUCUUGCUCCGUCUUCCUCUGCUGAACUUGACACGGUUGGACUCAUGGAGGUAGAUCUUCACCAGAUCCCCAGGACCCCUCAGACACUCACAGGUACAGAACAGAAUACCCUGGUCAGGACAGGAGGCAGAUAAAGUCAAGUUAUACCAUAAAAAGGAUCAGAUUCUGAAAGAUACAUGUGGCAGCUGUCCUAGCAUGAGGAAUAGGCCCGGUGAAGCCCCGGCACUGUUUGUCCCUUUCUGCGGCCCGUCACCGAGGGAGAAAACACACAAACUAACAGAUGCUGUGUGCUCCAGGCAACAGAACGUAUGCAAAUCAACGUCGUCAUCAUCACCUCGCGUGUUACAGCCAACUGAAUCCGAUCUGAUGAUGACUGUCGUAACGGAGUGCGUUGGAGGUGUCUGUG